rnacentral:rRNA from 1 species
GAGGAAUAUUGGUCAAUGGGCGAGAGCCUGAACCAGCCAUCCCGCGUGAAGGAAGAAGGCGCUAUGCGUUGUAAACUUCUUUUUCAGGGGGAUAAAAUAUUGUAUGUAUACGAUACUGAAGGUACCCUGAGAAUAAGCAUCGGCUAACUCCGUGCCAGCAGCCGCGGUAAUACGGAGGAUGCGAGCGUUAUCCGGAUUUAUUGGGUUUAAAGGGUGCGUAGGCGGAAUAAUAAGUCAGUGGUGAAACCCUGCAGCUUAACUGUAGACUUGCCAUUGAUACUGUUUUUCUUGAGUAUGGUCAAGGCAGGCGGAAUGUGUAAUGUAGCGGUGAAAUGCUUAGAUAUUACACAGAACACCGAUAGCGAAGGCAGCUUGCUGGGCCGUUACUGACGCUGAUGCACGAAAGCGUGGGGAUCGAAC